rnacentral:rRNA from 1 species
CACGUAGGGUGCGAGCGUUGUCCGGAAUUAUUGGGCGUAAAGAGCUCGUAGGCGGUGUGUCGCGUCGGCCGUGAAAACCUGCAGCUUAACUGUGGGCUUGCGGUCGAUACGGGCAUCACUGGAGUUCGGUAGGGGAGACUGGAAUUCCUGGUGUAGCGGUGAAAUGCGCAGAUAUCAGGAGGAACACCGGUGGCGAAGGCGGGUCUCUGGGCAGUAACUGACGCUGAGGAGCGAAAGCGUGGGGAGCGAACAGG